UAAGGGAUAUUGCGCCAAUGGGCGAAAGCCUGACGCAGCAACGCCGCGUGCGGGAAGAAGGCCUUCGGGUUGUAAACCGCUUUUCUAGGGGAAGAGGGAGGACGGUACCCUGGGAAUAAGUCUCGGCUAACUACGUGCCAGCAGCCGCGGUAAAACGUAGGAGGCGAGCGUUAUCCGGAUUUACUGGGUGUAAAGCGCGUGCAGGCGGUUUAGCAAGUCGUGCGUGAAAGCGCUCUGGCUCAACCGGGCGAGGACGUGCGGAACUGCUGAACUGGAGGCAGGUAGAGGCGUGUGGAAUUCCGGGUGUAGUGGUGAAAUGCGUAGAGAUCCGGAGGAACACCAGUGGCGAAGGCGACGCGCUGGGCCUGACCUGACGCUAAGACGCGAAAGCAUGGGGAG
rnacentral:rRNA from 1 species